UAGGGCAAGUGUCUCAUUAAAUAAUUAACCCCGAUCUGCUCCGAAUAAAGAUUAGCAAUUAGCCUAUGAAGUAAUGUUAAAUGAUCUUCAUUAGAUUUCUAAAGUGAUCCAUACUGAAACAUAUUGUUUGCGGGCUGUCAAACAUGAAAACAUGGCUUAGAUUAGACAUUAACAAGUGGAGAAAUGCGACAUGACAAUCGCAUAAUUGAUGAGAAGACAAGCAGAUCAGGAUUAAACGUCGAGGCAGCUCAUGAUCAAGUUCUGAGACUGAAGUGUUUGGCAGUUUGUCCAUCUUCUGUGACAGUGGGUUUUGUCGUGCUUCACUUCACCCAGCUGCUUUGAAAAGCAAGACUUUAGCAUCAACAAGUGUUAUGUUAUACAGUGGUGUUUAAAAAAUAGCAGUGUAUUAAUAAAAGUGAA